CCUGGUUGAUCCUGCCAGUGGUCAUAUGCUUGUCUCAAAGAUUAAGCCAUGCAUGUUUAAGCAGAAGCCGCACAACGGUAAAGCCGCGAAUGGCUCAUUACAACAGCCGUCGUUUCUUGGAUCUCUAAAUUUACUUGGAUAACUGUGGUAAUUCUAGAGCUAAUACACGCACUAAAGCUCUGACCUUACGGGACGAGCGCAUUUAUUAGAACAAAACCAAUCGGGUUUCGGCCCGUUCGUUGGUGACUCUGAAUAACUCUGCCGAUCGCACGGUCUCGCACCGGCGACGUAUCUUUCAAGUGUCUGCCUUAUCAACUUUCGAUGGUAGUUUAUGUGCCUACCAUGGUUGUAACGGGUAACGGAGAAUAAGGGUUCGACUCCGGAGAGGGAGCCUGAGAAACGGCUACCACAUCCAAGGAAGGCAGCAGGCGCGCAAAUUACCCACUCUCGGCACGAGGAGGUAGUGACGAAAAAUAACGAGACGGAUCUCUUUGAGGCCCGUUAUCAGAAUGAGAACAAUUCAAAUCCUUUAACGAGGAUCUAGCGGAGGGCAAGUCUGGUGCCAGCAGCCGCGGUAAUUCCAGCUCCGCAGGUGUAUAUCUAUGCUGCUGCGGUUAAAAAGCUCGUAGUUGGAUCUGCGUGCUCGGAACUGGUUGGCUCACUGAGCUCAUACUGGUCUCCGGCGCUUUAUUGGCUGGUUUUCCCUUGAUGCUCUUAACCGGGUGUCUUGGGUGGCUAGCACGUUUACUUUGAAAAAAUUAGAGUGCUCAAUACAGGCGCAAAGCCUUGAAUAGUGGUGCAUGGAAUAAUAGAAUAGGACCUCGGCUCUAUUUUGUUGGUUUUCGGAACGCGAGGUAAUGAUUAAGAGGGACAGACGGGGGCAUUCGUAUUGCGACGUUAGAGGUGAAAUUCUUGGAUCGUCGCAAGACGGACGACUGCGAAAGCAUUUGCCAAGAAUGUUUUCAUUAAUCAAGAACGAAAGUUAGAGGUUCGAAGGCGAUCAGAUACCGCCCUAGUUCUAACCGUAAACGAUGCCAACUAGCGAUUCGCAGGCGUUAAACAACGACCUUGCGGGCAGCUUCCCGGAAACGAAAGUGUUCGGGUUCCGGGGGAAGUAUGGUUGCAAAGCUGAAACUUAAAGGAAUUGACGGAAGGGCACCACCAGGAGUGGAGCCUGCGGCUUAAUUUGACCCAACACGGGAAAACUCACCCGGCCCGGACACCGUAAGGAUUGACAGAUUGAGAGCUCUUUCUUGAUUCGGUGGGUGGUGGUGCAUGGCCGUUCUUAGUUGGUGGAGCGAUUUGUCUGGUUUAUUCCGAUAACGAACGAGACUCUGGCCUACU
rnacentral:rRNA from 1 species